rnacentral:rRNA from 1 species
GAUGAACGCUGGCGGCGUGCCUAAUACAUGCAAGUCGAGCGAACAGACGAGGCGCUUGCUUGUCUGACGUUAGGGGCGGACGGGUGAGUAACACGAGGAUAACCUACCUAUAAGACUGGGAUAACUUCGGGAAACCGGAGCUAACACCGGAUAAUAUAUUGAACCGCAUGGUUCAAUAGUGAAAGACGGUUUUGCUGUCACUUAUAGAUGGUUCCGCGCCGCAUUAGCUAGUUGGUAAGGUAACGGCUUACCAAGGCAACGAUGCGUAGCCGACCUGAGAGGGUGAUCGGCCACACUGGAACUGAGACACGGUCCAGACUCCUACGGGAGGCAGCAGUAGGGAAUCUUCCGCAAUGGGCGAAAGCCUGACGGAGCAACGCCGCGUGAGUGAUGAAGGUCUUCGGAUCGUAAAGCUCUGUUAUUAGGGAAGAACAAAUGUGUAAGUAACUGUGCACGUCUUGACGGUACCUAAUCAAAAAGCCACGGCUAACUACGUG